rnacentral:lncRNA from 1 species
UCCGAGGAGAGAGAGAAGAACUAACUGGGAAUGGCAUGGGCUUUUGAAACCUCAGCACUUACUUACCCCUCAGUGAUACACUUCUUCCAACAAGGUCACACCUCUUAAUACUUCUGUCUUAAUCAGGGCUUUAUUUCUGUGAAGAGACACCAUGACCUAGGCAACUCUCAUAAAAGUAUUUAACUGGGGACUCGCUUACGGUUUCAGAGUGUUAGUCCACUAUCAACAUGAUGGGAGGCAUGGCAGUGUACAGACAGACUCGGUGCAGAAGGAGCUGGGAGUUCCACAUCUUGAUUGGCAGGCAGCAGGAAGUGAUAGAGACACACUGGCCAAGCUUGAGCAUCGGAGACCUCAAAGCCCGCCCCCUAGUAACACACUUCCUCCAACAAGGCCACACCUAUUCCAACAAGGCCACACCUCCUAGUAGUGCCACUCCCUGUGAACCAAGAAUUCAAACACACGAGUCUAUGGGGACCAUACCUAUUCCAACCACCACACCUUCCCCAAAAGUGAAUCAAACUUUCAAAUAUACAAAUGUAUGGGGGCCAUUCUUAUUCAAACUACCACAGAGGGUCUGCGGAAGGACCAAAUAAAGAUGCAAUAAAAGUUUGACUGUUCACCCUUCAUAAUCCUUCCUUUCCAUUUGGAAAUGGUUCUAGACCCUGACCCCUAUCGGCCAGCCAAGGAAUUUAUAGCUUGUAUCAGGGACCAGACUCUCUGUCUAGGUACUCUCAGAGACUAAGCUUGGAGACAUAGCAUCAUGGUUGGGAGCCUGGGACACUGCCUCCAAGGUUGUCUGGAAUAGGGAGAGGGUCUGAGCAGCUGCCAAUGCCCGUGGUGCCCUGGGUGGGUGUGGGGAAGGUCUUACUCCUCUCUACUUGUUUCCUCAGGGAAAAGGAAGAAGCCAGGAAGGAGAUGGAGCGUCUGACAGAGGACAUGAUUGCUUCCCAAGAGGUGCAGGGCCUCAUGGACAUCAUAGUUCCCGAGAAGGUGAGCAACCUCCAAGAGUAUGAAGACCACAAGAAGAGGAAGUACCUGAGGGCGCUGGCGAGCUUUCAGGAAGAGUUGGAGCAGAUUGGGGUGGUGAGACCCUGCUCCUGUCUCCUCUGUUGUUGCAGCAUCCCCUGGGCGGGGAGGUGUGUUUCCACUGUCCCCAGCCUCCUUUCUCCUCUCAGUGUCUUCAGUGUCUCAGCACAACAGACGGAUGGAAUCACAGCG